UACGAAGGGGGCUAGCGUUGUUCGGAAUUACUGGGCGUAAAGCGCACGUAGGCGGGUCGUUAAGUCAGGGGGUGAAAUCCCGGAGCUCAACUCCGGAACUGCCUUUGAUACUGGCGAUCUUGAGAUCGGAAGAGGUGAGUGGAAUUCCCAGUGUAGAGGUGAAAUUCGUAGAUAUUGGGAAGAACACCAGUGGCGAAGGCGGCUCACUGGUCCGAUACUGACGCUGAGGUGCGAAAGCGUGGGGAGCAAACAGG
rnacentral:rRNA from 1 species